rnacentral:rRNA from 1 species
CCUACGGGAGGCAGCAGUAGGGAAUCUUCCGCAAUGGACGAAAGUCUGACGGAGCAACGCCGCGUGAGUGAUGAAGGUUUUCGGAUCGUAAAGCUCUGUUGUUAGGGAAGAACAAGUGCAAGAGUAACUGCUUGCACCUUGACGGUACCUAACCAGAAAGCCACGGCUAACUACGUGCCAGCAGCCGCGGUAAUACGUAGGUGGCAAGCGUUGUCCGGAAUUAUUGGGCGUAAAGGGCUCGCAGGCGGUUUCUUAAGUCUGAUGUGAAAGCCCCCGGCUCAACCGGGGAGGGUCAUUGGAAACUGGGAAACUUGAGUGCAGAAGAGGAGAGUGGAAUUCCACGUGUAGCGGUGAAAUGCGUAGAGAUGUGGAGGAACACCAGUGGCGAAGGCGACUCUCUGGUCUGUAACUGACGCUGAGGAGCGAAAGCGUGGGGAGCGAACAGGAUUAGAUACCUGGGUAGAUCCACGCCGUAAACGAUGAGUGCUAAGUGUUAGGGGGUUUCCGCCCCUUAGUGCUGCAGCUAACGCAUUAAGCACUCCGCCUGGGGAGUACGGUCGCAAGACUGAAACUCAAAGGAAUUGACGGGGGCCCGCACAAGCGGUGGAGCAUGUGGUUUAAUUCGAAGCAACGCGAAGAACCUUAC